AUCAUCAAACACCAAAACUUACUUAGCCAAAUGGCCCGGGGUCCAUUUUCCUUACACCGGUGUAGCCACCUACAGCCAUGGCCGCUGGAGCAGCGACUAUUUCACGGUGGAGUGCCACUCCAGAGAGCUCCUCUCUUUUCCCUCCGACGACGAGGGAGCCACCGGCGGCGGCGGUAAUCCAGGCGCUGUCGUUGAAGGCUCGCCACCACCGGCCCGUAGUCAUCUUCGUCGAGGCCAGUGGCUCCACCGUGCUUCCCUCCGAUGCCGCCUCCCUCUAGAUCCGCCGCUUCCCUGCCCCCUGCUCGUCGAUUCGGCUAGGAAUUGAGACCUCCUCCGCGUUUCCGCCAGUGUCGCCCUAUGCGCGUGCGACACCUAGACCGGACCUGAAAUUUUAUCUUCAAUCGACCUAUGGAUGUUCCGUGCUCCUCUCUCUCACACGCCGCCGGCUCACUGCCGCCUCUUCUCACUCCCAUGCCAUGCCCAUCGCCGCACGUCUGCCUCGUCCAAAUCUCGCUGCGACCUACAUCCCCGGCGUCGUGGCCGGCUCCACCAACCCGUGGCCUUCGACCACCGCCGCACACUCCAUCUCGCCAGGUCGCCCGUAUGGGCGUAUGGCCCAGCACUUUCUUUCAUCUUGUCUCCGCUCGGCCACCUGCGCCACUGCCUCGCUCCAUCCGUGUCAACCUGCGCCGGCUGCAAAACGAUAUGGUUAUGCAGUUUGGUCUGCUAGGUCUCCAUUUCAUUGAGCUUGUUCGUUGCACACAGAACACGGAGGCCCUUGAGUUUGUUCAGAAAAAAUGAAGUCAGGUGGUGGUGCAUAGAAGCUCUUGAUUAGGAGAUAUUUUCAUGGGCUCAUGACCCACGAUGAAGCUAUUGCUACCCAGAAGACUAGAAAUACAGCAUCCCCUUCUAAGGGCUUCUAGCUUGGUGUUUCUUGUUUGGUGAUACCUGUACAAGCAAAUUUGGUGACCUGCUGCUUAAAAGUCGUUUGUGCAAAGUGGUCAUCUUGACUGAUCACAACGAUGAAGUUCUGGAGGCAAGGUUCAGUUGCUUAGAAAUUCAUUCACUGAUACCUCUCAUUAUGCAGUUGAAGCGCCACAUAUAUUGGUAGAUAAAUGCUACUGAUACAUUCAAAUAAGUGAUGAACCAGUCCAUUCAUCUGAGCUAAUAAGUGCAGUAAUCAGUACACUGCAGAGAGCAUAAUUUCUUUUUUCUGCUUAAUAUAUAAUGGGGCGCAGUUCUCAUAAACCUACCCAACUAUUAUGUUAGUGGUGGCUAUAUUAUAUGUUAUAUAACAUGUUGUAUAACUGUUGAGAUCAUGAACAUUUUAGAUGUUGAAUACCUUGCUUGCAAGGAGUGUCACGAAUACCGAGACUUGCUCUCGCACAUGCUGAAUCGUAUCACAUUCUUAUUCCUUUGUCUAUUUCAGCCCUUCUAUUUUUGGUUUAUGGCAGUGUUGUUGUCAUGACGAAGACAGACCCAAGUAUUGAAAGGGAUGAUCUGAUUUUGUUCCAGGAGAUUGCCAUGUACAUGCUCCUUGCAUGUGGAGCUGUCUAUGUGAUCUCGAUAAGAAAGAUUUGUGGAUGUUGACCCAACAGGCAAUUGCUACUGAGAUGCAAAGUGAAUCCAAGUGGAAGCAAUUAGGGGAGUUAGCUAUGUCAAAUGGAUCCAUGGAUUUUAAGGCAUACUUGGUGUUGAAGAGUAGUGGAAGCAAUUAGGGGAGUUAGCUAUGUCAAAUGAAUCCAAGUGGAAGCAAUUAGGGGAGUUAGCUAUGCCUUAAAAUCCAAGUGGAAGUACAUUUUCGAAACUGAUCACUACUCUUCAACACCAAGUAUGUCUUCUUAUUCUGUUCACUAGCAUGCCAGUUGUUACUUGCAUUACCAUAUCAUAAUUUUUAAAGACUAUGGAUAGCAGGUCCAUCUAUAUUGCUGACAUACCUAUGGUAAGUACAAAUCCUUUGAGUCUUUGAGAAAGGAUAUCUCAUUGAAUUUGUUCUUUUUGGAAUUGUCCCUCAACACAAAUGCUAAAAUGAUUUUUCCAUAGGAGAGAAUGUAUGAUCCUCCAUUUUAAACAACCUUUUUAAAUACCAGUAUGAAAUAAUACUUUUUCCUUUGAGUAUCCAUCUGUGUUCCUAUAAUUUAAACACCAGUAUGUCCAUGGCCACCUGCAGCACGGUGUUGACUCCACCUUCCAGUGCCUCCUUAUCCAGCUCUCCAUGUAGACAUGUCCAAUAUUUCUCCAGUGCCUUUAAAUAACCUAAUGAGGGCAUGUAAACAUUUUGUUAUACAAUGACUCAUUUAUGUCCUACAGAUUUGUUAUGCCCAUACGCCAGUUAUUGGAAAAACCUAUCAUGAGCAGCAAUACUGAUUAAAAUAAUAAUCAACUUUGCUAUUUUUAUGUGUUGCAGAAUAAGUAGAACAUAUCAUUGAACAACAUGUUGUCAUUUUUUGGACAUUUUUAAGUUGAGUAUCAACAUGGCUCUUGUUUAAAUUAUUGCGCUCUUACUCAGGAUGAGAUUGAAGCUGCUCGAAUGGCAGCGAUCAAUAAGUAAAUUAAGCGUGUAUUGACUGAAGUCUUUUUGAAGGUUUUAUUCUUGACUUGAUCAUCUUGUUUACUGUUUACAUUAUUGAAUUCGUCUAAGAGGUGCAAGGUUAUUUCUGAUUGGUUAGCUUCUUACCCCUUUUUCAUCACAUACAGAAUCGGCUAUCUUAAGGUCAGUGUCCCUUCAUAAUUGUUAGCACAUUUUAUAUAACAAUAUGUACUGUGGUUGAGAGCACACAGUCGGAUGCUUUUUAUAUUUCCAAGGAAUUUUGUGUUCUCUAUAAGUUGUAGCAUCUAACUAUGUAACUUGAUGUUAUAGAUUCAAUCACAAAAAAUAUUUAAGCAUAUGAAUACUGAAAUAAUUGAUUGGUUGUAGGCUGGGCAAAAGGUUCGUGAAGAAAGUGAAAGGCUGCGAGUCUGCGACAGCAGGAACGUGAGCAAAUUGCAAUGAAACGUAAGCGUGAAAUGGCAUACAAUCCUUGAUGUUUUUUUAGAUGCUUUGCCCUCGUGUCCCGGCUAAGGCAGAAGAAAAGUGGUUGGAGCUGUUGUACAUUCAGUGGAUUGAGCAUCAUAUAUGGUUGUCCAAUUUCUUAAGGCAACUUUGCUGCUUUGCAUCAUUCUUCACUUUGACUUAGAAACAAGUAUCGUUUCAUGAAACAAGUAUCAUUUCAUGUUAUGUAAAGGAAUUGUUCAGUUCUCUUUAUCUUUCUUGUGAUAAGUGCAGAGCAUAUUCCUUGGUUAUGGAUAUGUGUAUUGGGUAACUGGGCAUUCACAUUUUGUAUUUGUUGUUGCAAGGUCCAUAUGGAUAGUCCGGCUGAUCUCGGUAUCUCUGAUAGGCUGUCUUUCAUUGCUGAAAACUUUUGUGCCCGUUGUUAUCUCUGAUAGCCUGUUGUUCAUUGCUUGAUAUUUGUUUCAUAUAUUAUCUUUGGUGUUUGUGUCUCCACAUGAGUACAGGAGGCAAAAUAAUCAUCCACUUUGAGCUCAUUUUAAUAAAUCUUCUCAAGACAUAAAAGUCUUGCGACUAUAUGCAACAUUUCCUCUGCCUGGCAGUGCAAAGCUUGCUUGCUUAUUUUUCUUCUGUUGUUUGAUCAUCUUCUAUCUUCUGAAAUCUCGUCUUUUUUUAGGCUAGCAGAGGACUUGGUCUCACAACACAUAUUAUUGAUCACUGCAAGCUGGUACUUAAACUUCCUGAAGGGACCAAUAGCACCUAGUAUAAUGCUCAGUUCAAGAUUUUUGAACCUCUAGAAUACAAAUAUGAUGUCUGUGAAACUAUCUUAUUGUGGGAACAGGUUAGUACAUUCUUCUAGACUAACAUGUUUGCUCUUGUUACUCGUGUUAAUACUAAUAUGGUCGCAGUACCGCAACAUGACAACUGUAUUGACAAGGGAAUACUUGGAUGUGAGGCCGGAUGGAUGGUUGGAUUAUGCAGCUAAAAGGACCGCACAGCUUGGUGUUGAUAAAUGUUACAACCGCACUCUCUGUGAUGAGCUUCUUAGCAUUGUACUGCCUGCUAAACCCCCUUUCCAUCCACGCCAGUUCGCGACAUGUGCAGUUGUUGGUAACUUGGGAGAUCUCUUGAAAACAGAGUGGUUUAAUUUCAGCAGACAACGAUCUGCAUCUGUGGUACCCAGAUCUGCAUGCUCCAAGAGUGUUAGAUAGCAGCAAAGUCUCUGACAAAAAUGAACAUCGGACAAUGAUCUGAACACACAUCUUACAGAGGUGACGACAUCGUCCUGGGGACUCUUUUUGUCAGUUCUCUUGGAGUGCUUGAAUAAGAGCAGAAGAAUAGUAGUUCAGUUCUCUCACAUAACUCCCAACAGAUGUAUGUUCUGAUCUUAGUUCUACUCGUUCUGUCCUGAAACCAGGACGGUGUUAGUUUUGGCGACAAAUGAUCUGGACUUCUUACUGAAACUAAUCACUGAACAUGUUCAUAGAACAGGCAGUACAUGGCUUCCUUUAUACAGUUUGUGGUAUUGAACA